UACCGUAGUCCACGGUUCACCUCAACGCCCUCUGUGGGUUGUCUGACUCACAGUGAGAUCAGUCACACAACCUCCUAGAGUGUGUCGAGGUUCGUGAUCUACCGUA
rnacentral:pre_miRNA from 1 species